rnacentral:misc_RNA from 1 species
AAGUCGUAACAAGGUUUCCGUAGGUGAACCUGCGGAAGGAUCAUUAAAAAAAGGGUCGCAAGACCCAUUUUUAAACACUAUCGUCGCCUAUCAUCUAUGGGCAGGAUACUCUUGUCUAUGGGUGAGAUGGAGGAGGUAGGGUUUUUUAAAAUCCAAUUAUUAUAAAAUAUAUCGUCUAAUGACGAACCAAAAAAAUUAUCAAAACUUUCAACAAUGGAUCUCUUGGCUCUC